GAUGAACGCUGGCGGCGUGCCUAAUACAUGCAAGUCGAGCGAACGGACGAGAAGCUUGCUUUUCUGAUGUUAGCGGCGGACGGGUGAGUAACACGUGGAUAACCUACCUAUAAGACUGGGAUAACUUCGGGAAACCGGAGCUAAUACCGGAUAAUAUUUUGAACCGCAUGGUUCAAAAGUGAAAGACGGUCUUGCUGUCACUUAUAGAUGGAUCCGCGCUGCAUUAGCUAGUUGGUAAGGUAACGGCUUACCAAGGCAACGAUGCAUAGCCGACCUGAGGGGGUGAUCGGCCACACUGGAACUGAGACACGGUCCAGACCCCUACGGGAGGCAGCAGUAGGGAAUCUUCCGCAAUGGGCGAAAGCCUGACGGAGCAACGCCGCGUGAGUGAUGAAGGUCUUCGGAUCGUAAAACUCUGUUAUUAGGGAAGAACAUAUGUGUAAGUAACUGUGCACAUCUUGACGGUACCUAAUCAGAAAGCCACGGCUAACUACGUG
rnacentral:rRNA from 1 species